rnacentral:rRNA from 1 species
AUUGAACGCUGGCGGCAGGCCUAACACAUGCAAGUCGAGCGGAGCGGCGGACGGGGGAGUAAGGCCUAGGAAUCGGCCUGGUAGUGGGGGAGAACGUCCGGAAACGGGCGCUAAUACCGCAUACUAUCAGAUGAGGCUAGGUCGGAUUAGCUAGUUGGUGGGGUAAAGGCCGACCAAGGCGACGCGCCGUAACUGGUCUGAGAGGAUGAUCAGGCACACUGGAACGGAGACACGGUCCAGACUCCUACGUGAGGCAGCAGUGGGGAAUAUUGGACAAUGGGCGAAAGCCUGAUCCAGCCAUGCCGCGUGUGUGAAGAAGGUCUUCGGAUUGUAAAGCUCUUUAAGUUGGGAGGCGUUACCUACAGAAUAAGCACCGGCUAACUUCGUGCCAGCAGCCGCGGUAAUUC